UACGUAGGGUGCGAGCGUUAAUCGGAAUUACUGGGCGUAAAGUGUGCGCAGGCGGCUUUGCAAGUCGAGUGUGAAAGCCCCGGGCUUAACUUGGGAAUUGCGCUCGAAACUACGAUGCUGGAGUGUGGCAGAGGAAGGUGGAAUUCCACGUGUAGCGGUGAAAUGCGUAGAGAUGUGGAGGAACACCGAUGGCGAAGGCAGCCUUCUGGGCCAACACUGACGCUCAUGCACGAAAGCGUGGGGAGCAAACAGG
rnacentral:rRNA from 1 species